GGGGCUGUGGCUCCCCACACUCCCUAGCAGAUCGUUACAUGGAGAAACCUUUGGAAUACAAGCAUGCUGAUCCACACAGGUGUGCACACAGGUGUACACACGGGUAUUCACAGACGCGGACUACAGCUUUCUUGGCUGCUGCCUCAAAGCACAUUGUGCGCUGUCUAUCUUGCGUGCUGCACAAUAUCAUUUAUUAUUUAGUAUCUACUGAUAUCUACUGCUAGCUAGUUUAUUGUGAUGGUGCCGUGUUUUUUUAUUAUGUUGCUCUUUGUUGUUUGCUUUCUCUUCUGUUUUUUUUUCUCCAUACAGGUGACCCAGGUGUUUUUUUUUUUUUUUUUUUUGUUUUUUUUCUUUCUUCCCCCCCCCCCCCCCCCCCCCUUCUCACCGUCUCUUCUCCCCUUUGGUUUUCUUUCUCUCCCUCUCUUUCUUUCAUUCUUUCUCCCUGUCCUAUCCCCCAGUUAUGUCUGUCCCGUUUGUAGCAACUGAAAAUAAAAUAAAUUCAUAAUUAUAAUAAAGGUCAAUCAAAUGGACCAAUAUGGCAAGGCCAUGAUGAUCCACUUGGUAAAAUAAAUCCGCUUGGCAUCUUUCUUGGCCUUAAGACAACAAUUCUGAUGGCUAAAGAUCCAAACGGGACACAAAAAAAAAAAAAAAAAAAAAAAAAAAAAAAAAAGAGUGAAUUCAGUUUUUCUUUACAGAACUACUUUCAAGUAGAGAAGGACAUUCUACAUUUCAAAUCAUUAACAAUUACUUACCAGAGACAAAAACAACAGUGCCCCUGUAGUGUGGCCACCCUCCUCGCUGUUUCUUCCCAUGGCGCCAUUCAAUAACUGCCGAGUAAGUGGAAAUGGGAUUCCCAUGCUGGUCCAUCUUGGAGUCAUCAUACCCCCAUAUGUUAACAGUUUUUACUUCACUAAGCUUUCCAUAGUCCUCCCCUUCACUCCACAGCACCACUGCAAACUUCCUCUCCUCGUGUUCUGUAGUAAAUGAAGGGGGAGGAAAAAAAGUUGCUAUUUCCUAGCUAGAAUGCUACGGGCUAUAUGCUAAUAAAGGCUUUUUCUUAUCAAAAAAUAUUCUAUUUGACAUGGUUUCUAUAGGCAUACUUUUACCGUUUGAACCAUUUUAAUGCCGCCAAGUGCUAUGUCGCAUGCAUAAUUCUCUGAAAAGAGCAUUUCCACGUUGGUCACUUGUUUCUAUGUGACCCGUAAAACAUCAAAC
ensembl:lncRNA